rnacentral:rRNA from 1 species
AUAUUUUGACAAUGGGGGCGACCCUGAUGUAGCCAUGCCGCGUAAAUGAAGAAGGCCUUUGGGUUGUAAAGCUCUUUCAGCUGGGAAGAUAAUGACGGUACCAGCAGAAGAAGCCCCGGCUAACUCCGUGCCAGCAGCCGCGGUAAUACGGAGGGGGCUAGCGUUGUUCGGAAUUUCUGGGCGUAAAGCGCACGUAGGCGGACCAGAAAGUUGGGGGUGAAAUCCCGGGGCUCAACCCCGGAACUGCCUUCAAAACUAUUGGUCUGGAGUUUGAGAGAGGUGAGUGGAAUUCCGAGUGUAGAGGUGAAAUUCGUAGAUAUUCGGAGGAACACCAGUGGCGAAGGCGGCUCACUGGCUCGAUACUGACGCUGAGGUGCGAAAGCGUGGGGAGCAAACAGG